rfam:Candidatus Brennerbacteria bacterium RIFOXYD1_FTLL_41_16 rifoxyd1_full_scaffold_321, whole genome shotgun sequence.
GCCUCUUUAGCUCAAUGGUAGAGCGACGGUAUCGUAAACCGCUGAUGUCAGUUCGAUUCUGACAAGAGGCU